UACAGAGGGUGCGAGCGUUAAUCGGAAUUACUGGGCGUAAAGCGCACGUAGGCGGCUUGGUAUGUCGGGUGUGAAAUCCCCGGGCUCAACCUGGGAACUGCAUCCGAAACUGCCUUGCUAGAGUAUGGGAGAGGGAAGUGGAAUUUCCGGUGUAGCGGUGAAAUGCGUAGAUAUCGGAAGGAACAUCAGUGGCGAAGGCGACUUCCUGGACCAAUACUGACGCUCAUGUGCGAAAGCGUGGGGAGCAAACAGG
rnacentral:rRNA from 1 species